rnacentral:rRNA from 1 species
GAUCAAGCGUCUGAAGGGCAUCUGGUGGAUGCCUUGGCACUGAGAGGCGAUGAAGGACGUAGCACGUUGCGAUAAGUCACGGGGAGCCGCGAGCAGGCAUUGAUCCGUGAAUUUCCGAAUGGGGAAACCCACCGCUUAACGCGGUAUCCCACACUGAAUCCAUAGGUGUGGGAAGCGAACCCGGCGAACUGAAACAUCUAAGUAGCCGGAGGAAAGGACAUCAACCGAGACUCCGCUAGUAGUGGCGAGCGAACGCGGACCAGGCCAGUCAUUCGAUCUACAUAACCGGAACCGUCUGGAAAGUCGGGCCAUAGCGGGUGAUAGCCCCGUACGGAUAAACCGGAUCGAAUGCUCGAGUAGGGCGGGGCACGUGAAACCCUGUCUGAACAUGGGGGGACCACCCUCCAAGCCUAAGUACUCCUCAGUGACCGAUAGUGCACCAGUACCGUGAGGGAAAGGUGAAAAGCACCCCGACAAGGGGAGUGAAACAGUUCCUGAAACCGGAUGCCUACAAGCAGUCGGAGCUUCCUUGCGAAGUGACGGCGUACCUUUUGUAUAAUGGGUCAGCGACUUAGAGUAUGCAGCGAGCUUAAGCCGAUAGGUGGAGGCGCAGCGAAAGCGAGUCUGAAUAGGGCGACCGAGUUGCAUGCUUUAGACCCGAAACCUGAUGAUCUAGCCAUGGGCAGGUUGAAGGUGCGGUAACACGCACUGGAGGACCGAACUCACGCCUGUUGAAAAAGUCGGAGAUGACCUGUGGCUAGGGGUGAAAGGCCAAUCAAAUCAGGAAAUAGCUGGUUCUCCGCGAAAGCUAUUUAGGUAGCGCGUCGCGUAUUGCCGCGGGGGGUAGAGCACUGGAUGGGCUAGGGGGGCGCGAGCCUUACCAAACCUAACCAAACUCCGAAUACCCGUGAGCAGAGCGCGGCAGACAGACGGUGGGUGCUAAGGUCCAUCGUCGAGAGGGAAACAGCCCAGACCGCCAGCUAAGGUCCCCAAAUCACGGCUAAGUGGGAAAGGAUGUGGGAAGGCCAUGACAACCAGGAGGUUGGCUUAGAAGCAGCCAUCCUUUAAAGAAAGCGUAAUAGCUCACUGGUCUAGUUAAGCCGGCCUGCGCCGAAAAUGUAUCGGGGCUCAAGCCGUGUACCGAAGCUGCGGGUGUGAUCUUCGAUCACGCGGUAGCGGAGCGUUCCGUAAGCCUGCGAAGGGUGUCCGUGAGGCCGCCUGGAGGUAUCGGAAGUGAGAAUGCUGACAUGAGUAGCGACAAACAGUGUGAGAAACACUGUCGCCGAAAGUCCAAGGGUUCCUGCGCAAGGUUAAUCCACGCAGGGUGAGCCGGCCCCUAAGGCGAGGCCGAAAGGCGUAGUCGAUGGGAACCAGGUUAAUAGUCCUGGGCCUGGCGGAGGUGACGGAUGGGAAAGCGUGUAUGUCCUUAUCGGAUUGGACAUGCUGUGGACCUGUUCCAGGAAACAGCCCCGCCGUAUAGACCGUACCCCAAACCGACACAGGUGGACUGGUAGAGUAUACCCAGGCGCUUGAGAGAAUGGUGUUGAAGGAACUCGGCAAAUUGCCCUCGUAACUUCGGAAGAAGAGGGCCCCGUUUGGACGCAAGUCCAGGCGGGGGGCACAGACCAGGGGGUAGCGACUGUUUACUAAAAACACAGGGCUCUGCGAAGCCACACAAGGCGACGUAUAGGGUCUGACGCCUGCCCGGUGCCGGAAGGUUAAGAGGAGAGGUGCAAGCCUUGAAUUGAAGCCCCGGUAAACGGCGGCCGUAACUAUAACGGUCCUAAGGUAGCGAAAUUCCUUGUCGGGUAAGUUCCGACCUGCACGAAUGGCGUAACGACUUCCCCGCUGUCUCCAACACCAACUCAGCGAAAUUGAACUCUCCGUGAAGAUGCGGAGUUCCCGCGGUCAGACGGAAAGACCCCGUGCACCUUUACUACAGCUUUGCAGUGGUGCUAGGGACUUCAUGUGUAGGAUAGGUGGGAGGCUUGGAAGCCUGGGCGCCAGCCCGGGUGGAGCCAACCUUGAAAUACCACCCUUGAAGUCUCUGGCAUCUAACCGUGGCCCGUGAUCCGGGUCCGGGACCCUGCAUGGCGGGUAGUUUGACUGGGGCGGUCGCCUCCCAAAGUGUAACGGAGGCGCGCGAUGGUGGGCUCAGAGCGGUCGGAAAUCGCUCGUCGAGUGCAAUGGCAUAAGCCCGCCUGACUGCAAGACUGACAAGUCGAGCAGAGACGAAAGUCGGCCAUAGUGAUCCGGUGGCUCCACGUGGACGGGCCAUCGCUCAACGGAUAAAAGGUACGCCGGGGAUAACAGGCUGAUGACUCCCAAGAGUCCAUAUCGACGGAGUCGUUUGGCACCUCGAUGUCGGCUCAUCACAUCCUGGGGCUGGAGCAGGUCCCAAGGGUUCGGCUGUUCGCCGAUUAAAGUGGUACGUGAGCUGGGUUUAGAACGUCGUGAGACAGUUCGGUCCCUAUCUGCCGUGGGUGUCGGAGUUUUGCGAGGAUCUGUCCCUAGUACGAGAGGACCGGGAUGGACAUACCUCUGGUGCACCGGUUGUCACGCCAGUGGCAUGGCCGGGUAGCUAAGUAUGGACGGGAUAACCGCUGAAAGCAUCUAAGCGGGAAACCCACCUCUAAACCAGAGCUCCCUUGAGAGCCGUGACAGACCAUCACGUCGAUAGGAGGCAUGUGGAAGGGCGGCAACGCCUGAAGCUAAGCCUUACUAAUCGCUCGAUCGGCUUGAUCUC